AAAAAAAAAAAAGACAGGACUGUGGUGGUCACAAGGCGGGCACACUUGUGAGCAUACUAAAACCACAGCAUUGUACACUUUGAUGGGUGAAUUGUAUGGAGUGCGGAUUAUAUAUUGAUUGUUUUAAAAAAGAAAAAGGACAAGAGGGAGGGAAGGAAGGAAGGACGCAAGUAAUCCACCCCUGGGGAUCUCUCUUACACGUCCUUAUGGGUAAGGAAACACAAACAGAGCUGCUCAUUGCUGCAGUACACCACAAUGCAUUCCAGGAUGGAACACAACACAGCUAUAACAAGGAAUGUGGACGAUCUCUGUGUCCUGAUAGGGAGCGAUCUCCAGGACCUGCUAGUGCAGGAAGCAGGCUGCAGAACAGCCUUUGACUGCAGUGUUUACUGAGGCCUUUCUGUAGGAAGAGUGUGUGUGUGUGUGUGUGUGUGUGUGUGUGUGUGUCAGGGGAGGUGGUAAGAAUAUAAGUUUGUAUUCUUAUGUUUGCCUUUUUUUUUUUUGAGACAGUCUCACUCUGUCAACCGGGCUGGAGAGCAGUGAUGCGAUCUCAGCUCACUGCAACCUCCACCUCCUAGGCCUCAGCUUCCUGAGUAGCUGGAAUUACAGGCAUGCACCACCAUGCCUGACUAAUUUUUGUAUUUUUAGUAGGGACAGGGUUUUGCCAUGUUGGCCGGGCUGGUCUUGAACUCCUGGCCUCAAGUGAUCUGCCCACCUCAUCCUCCCAAAGUGCUGGGAUUAUAGGCAUGAGCCACUGAGCCACCAUGCUCAGCUUCUGUUUGCUUUUUUAUUUCCAUAUUAGAAAUACUGCAGCCAGGAGCAGUGGCUCAUGCCUGGGCACUUUGAGAAGCUGAGAUGGGAGGAGCCCAGGAGUUUGAAACUAGCCCAGGCAAUAUAACGAGACCCUGUCCCUAGAUAACAAACCGAAAAAUUACAGGUGGCAAGCACCUGUAGGCCCAGCUACUCAGGAGGCUGAAGUGGGAGGAUCGCUUGAGCCAGGAUUUUGAGGCUGCAGUGAGUCGUGAUCAUGCCACUGCACUCCAGCCUCUGACACAGAGCAAGACUCUGUCAAAACAAACAAAAGAAAUACAGCGCCAGGUGUGGUGGCUCACACCUGUAAUCCUAGCACUUUGAGAGGCCAAGGUAGGCUGAUUACCUGAGCUCAGGAGUUCGAGACCAGCCUGGGCAACACGGUGAAACCCCAUCUCUACUAAAAUACAAAAAAAUUAGCUGGGUGUAGCAGCGUGCGCCUGUAGUCCUAGCUACUUGGGAGGCUGAGGCAGGAGAAUUUCUUGAACCCGGGAGGCAGAGGUUGCAGUGAGCUGAGAUCAUGCUACUGCACUCCGGUCCAGGCGACAGAGUGAGACUCCGUUUCAAAAAAAUAAUAAUAAUACAGCAAAAGAUACACAAGAAAUUAAUGAGAAUAGUUAUCUCACUGUAAAUCUUUCUAUAUUAGUUUGAUUUUUAUCCAUAUGAAUGCAUUUCUGAGUCAAAAACCAAAAAAAAUGUAACAUUUAAAAGUGUAAAUGUGGGCCAGGCGCGCUGGCUCACACCUGUAGUCCCAGCACUUCGGGAGGCCGAGGCAGGUGGAUCACUCGAAGCUAGGAGUUCAAGACCAGCCCAGACAAUAUGGCAAAACCCUGUCUCUACUAAAAAUACAAAAAUCAGCCGAACAUGGUGGUGCACACCUGUAAUCCCAGCUACAGAUAUGCACAGUGUGGUGGCUGAGGCAGAAGAAUCACUUGAACUCAGGAUGUGGAGGUUGCAGUGAGCCGAGAUUGCACCACUGCAAUCCAGCCUGUGUGACGGUGCGAGACCCUGUCCCCCACCACCCCCCAAAAAAGUGUAUAUGUGAAAAUGGAAAAAAAAAGGGAUUGGAGACUGAGUGGAAACACCACUUUAGAGGGGCUCUCAGGAAGAAUGUCAGGGACCUGAGAUGUCACAGGUCCAACCCCACCCCCACCCCAACGUCAUGUAACAUUUGUUACAUUUGUUGAAAGUGAAGCAGAGAGAGGUCAGAGACUUGCUGGGGAGAAGCAGGGCAGGGCUGGCCCUUCAGGCCCAAGAGCACCUCCCAGAGCCAUACCUUCUGUCUGCCCCAAGUAGGGGAGCCUUGUCUGUCUGUCCAGAAGAAAGGCUGAGAGGCCACCAUUCUCUAGCGGGCUUGCCCAAGUCCUGCCUCAAAGCCUCAGGCAGGCAUCUUUCCACUGCAAAGCCCCAUUGUCCAGAUGAAGAACCUGCCUCUCAGAGAGGCAAGCCCAGCUCUAGCCCAGGGGACGUGGAGCCUAGUGGCUCAGAGCUCUGGGUCAGGUCUCAUUCCUCUCCUGGAUCUGACCCAUAGCAAGUCAUGCAGCCUCAGCAUUGGAGUCUCCUCAUCUGUGAGUGUAGAUGCCUCCCUUACCAGGGCUGACCUGGGCAUUACAUGAGAUAGCGGAGAGCUGGGCACAGUGGCUGGCCUGGGCAAGCAGCUGUUGUUAUGACUGCCAACAUCGUUGCUACAGGCUGCUGCCUGUCUGCUCUGAGUGAGGAGGUCUGGGUGACUGCUGGCAGCAAGUCCUGCCCACUUGAUCCCUCCUGGUCUCUGGGUCCCAGGCUUGACCUCAGGAUAGUAGUCAGCUGAGGCUGCCCCUUCUCUGGUAGGUUCCAGGUCCUGCCUUCCUCUCAGCGUCCCCAUCCUCUGUGCAGGCACAGAGCGGGUGUCAGGGAGCAAGUCUCUCAUUCAUUCGUUCCUUAAAUAUUACUUGUGCAUUAGUUGUGCAUCUAUUAUGUGCCAAGCACUGUGCAGGGCACUUGGGGUUCGCAGAGUUGAGUGGAACCAGACAUGAUCUCUGCUCUCAUGGAGCUCCCUGUGUUGUAGGGGACACAGACUUUGUUUUUUUUUUUUUCUUUUGAGACAGGCUCUGGUUCCAUCACUCAGGCUGGAGUGCAGUAACAUAAUCACAGCUCACUGCAGCCUCAAGCUCCCAGGCUCAAGCAAUCCUCCCACCUCAGCUGCCCAAGCAGCUGAGACUACAGAGGUGGGCUACCGCACCUGGCUAAUGUUUUUUUGUAGAGACAGGGUCCCACUAUGUUGCCCAGGAUGGUCUUGAACUCCUUGCCCCCGGGCAAUAUUCCUGCCUCAGCCUCCCAAAGUGUUGGGUUUACAGGUAUGAUCCACUGUGCCCAUCCUGGAUGCAGACUUUAAGCAGAGUCACAACAAGAAGAGCUGUGAAGGUCAGGGCAUGACCCACAGAUGCCCAAACACUGCACUGGAGGUCCAGGAAGAUUCUCCUGACAAGGCAACCCUGAGCCAAGAUCUGAAGUAUAAGAGGGAGCUUAUAACAUGGAAGAAGGAACAGUAUUCCUGGCAGGUGGAACAGCAUGUGCAAAGGUCAGGUGGUAAGAGGGGCUUCAAGGACAGUCCUAUGGCUGGAGCAGAGUGAUUGAGGGCAUGUGAAAUGAGAGGUGGCCAGGGUGGCAGGCAGGGACUAGCCCAAUGACCGUGAAAGGGAUGGGACUUUGGUCACUGUUCCGCAUUUCCAGAUGUUUACUAUGUGCCAGGCUUGGUACUAAAUGCUUUUCUGGAAUAUCUCACUAGAUUCUCACAUAGAUGAAGGGCUUGAUCUUAGAGAGGUUAGAUCCCUCAGCCGAGAGCCCACAGUGAGGAAGCCAUGGGGCCUGUGUCCCUGACUGCAAGACCUGUGCUCAGAACGGCCAGGCCACACAGAGCUCAACUCUCACUACAACCUCCUGAAGUCGGUGUGGUUACUCUUCCCACUUUACAGAUGAGGACAUGGGCCCAGAGAGGUUAUGUGAGUGACACAGCUUGAAGGUGGAGUUAAGCCUGGGCAGUCUGGCUUCAGAGUGUCCACAGUCUCAACCACUGCCUCACAUGGCUUCUUAGAAAAUAUUAUAAAAAGAAGCUCGGGCUGCCAUGUGGAAAAGAAUGGAGAGGGGACAAUGACACAGCUGGGAGCAUGCUGUGAUGGUGUACAGUGGACACAUUCAGGAUGAGGUGAAACAGGCUGGCCCUGGUGAGAGGCUAGAUGGGGCUGGGAUGAGGGUGGAGACAAGUAGUCUUGGGGUUGGCUUGGUGCAACCGGGGGGUGCAGGGAGUGUCUCUGAGGUGAGGCCGGGGGUAUGGGAACGCCAUGUUUGGUCUGGGACACGGUGGGCUUGGGAUGGCUACAGGACAGUGCAGUGGAGAGUCAAAAAGGCUGCUCGGACCCAGGUCUGGCGAGAUGGAAGCUGGAGGUCAGGUGAGCUGUCUAGGAGAGGGACAGAGUGGGAAGGAGAGGGUCUUGACUCGGCUUUCUUGCCAAAGGAGGGUUCCGAAAUGAGAAACUGUGGAAUCUAAGCUGGAGAGGAAGAAAGAUGGAGAAUGAGUGAAUGCACACGUGUGGGACAGAGAGAUGAAUAUUCAUGUCUUUGGCUCCUAUGCACCUGAGUCUUCUAAAGCUGCAGGCCAUACUACCCCCGGGAGGCUGCAGGGAUGCCACCUGGGAGAUGAAUGCAACUCUGCUGCCUGGGCAUGGGCCUGCGUGAGGGUGCAGACCCCUGCCUGUGAUCAUCAGGGAGGGUGAUGAGAACAAGGUGGCUGACAGGGUGAGGCCCAAGCCUGGAGCUUACCCAGGUGCGGGGACGGGAGGGUCAGAGACCUUUGGGGGGUCUUAGGGAGUUUCCCCAGCCCUAAGGGCUCCGCAAGCUGCCACUUCACACUGACCUGAGCAUACGCAGCUGCAGGAUCCCUUGCUCGCUCUCUCACAAGCAAAUGUAGACUGCACAACCAUCCUGACCACAGAUCCAGAAAGCCCAGGACAUAACAGAGCCGCAGUGCCUGCCCUGAUCCACGCGCACACAGAUCUAGCCCAGGAACAAGCCCAUCCACGGAGUGAGCAGCUGACAGGGGAGCCACGAACAGCCUGGAGAGCUGAGCAUGGGCCUGCUCCACACUCCAGCGGGGCCCGAGGCCCCCGGGAACUCUACCCCUCCUGGCAGCCUCACAGAACCUGCUGCAUCCAUCUCAAAAGGCAUACCUCCUCCAGGAAGCCUUCCCCGCUGCUCAGAGGUCUUAAAUCCAGGGUCUGCACUCACAAACCGUGCAGCCUACACCAGCUUCUGGGGGACAGCAGAAUACUGUGGGGGGCCUGGCACAGUCCCUGGCACACGGUAGGCACUCAUCGAGCCCCUGCCAGCCCCUCUACUCCUGACUUCUGAGGCAACAGGAAAUGACCCGCCACCUGGUUCUCACAGAGCCUCCCUGCCAGCCCAGAUGGUCACAAGGGCCUCCUGGGAUUCUGCCCACCUUGGCAGCCAGGCCCCUCCGGAGGGGCCAGUCUGGGCCUGACACCCCCGAACACCAACCCCCUGGGCAGGGACUGCCUGUGCCUGGGUGAGGAACCCUGCAUUCUCCUUGCCACACAAGGCCUGGGUCUGCCUUGGGGCCCAGGCUGCACCCUCUCCGACCCCCAGGCCCAAUGCCUGACCUGUGCCCACCUGACUCAACCUGGCUACUGUUCAGCAAGUUUACAAAGUGUUCUCAGUCUGAACAGGAACCAUUUUCAAUCCUUUAUUUCAGAAAGGAGAGCCAGGAGAACUGGGGACUUAGAAAAUACAGAUCCUAAACUCAAAAGUCCCUGCCCCAGGCGUGCAGAGCCAGGGUCCUGGGGUUUUGUGCUGGGCAGGGGCUGCCCUGGGAGGGGGAAUACAGGGGGAGGCACUUUAGGACACCCCUUAGGCUGUGGAGGGUGUCAGCUGGGCCUUUGAAGCCACUAACCACUGGUUCCCAUCAUGGAGAGCCCUGUGUGGGGCACCCAAGGGGGUUUCCUCCUGGAAGGGCCCCCAACCCAAGUGUCAGAGAAGCUGGCAAGAGCUGAGGGAGUGAGGUGCCAUGACAGCAGCCACAGCCUCCAGGGACCCAAACAGGCCCAGCUACCAGCCUGGCACUGAGCAUGCCAUCUGCUUUAGGCCCUGGCUGGCGGGCAUGUGGGCAACUUGCUCCCUCAGUGCAGGGGGCUGGGAGGCACAGAUGCAGGCUCAGCACUACAAACUCAAAACCCCCAUGAGAGGGCUCAGUCUUAUGGGAAAUGCCUCCAACCGAGCCCCUCUGCCCCAACACACUCUUUGUCUGCCUACUGAAGAAACUUCUGUAAAUAGCAGAGACUUGAGGGACCCCUUCCUGGGGUACGUGUAUUUGUAUUUUUCUGUUUGGGUGUUUGUGUGUCCCAGUGGGACCACCUCCCCAGGGAGACGAGGCAGGUGGGCAGGAGGCCCGGCAGGCGCCAUUACUUCUUCACGAUCUGGAUGACGUCCUCGUGCUCCAUGGUGUGGGUCAGGCCCACCCGCUGCGGACUGUACUUGGUGCUGGUGCCCUGGGUGAGGAAUGGGGGCAGAGGGGUCACCUCAGCCUGGACUGGCCAAGGUCAAGGAAGAUAUCCCUGGGCGUGUGUGUCCUGAAGGGUAAAUGCCAUGGCAUAAGGUGGGGGCCUCAGGCAGCAGGAUGUCCGCAGUUGUCUGACCAUCCCUGAUCUCAAAGGUUGGGGAGGGCCAGGCACAGUGGCUAAUGCCUGUAAUCCCAGCACUUCUGGAGGUCAAGGUGGGAGGAUCACUUAAGCUCAGGUGUUCGAGACAGCCUGGGCCAGAUAGCAAAACCUUGUCUCCAUGAAAAAUUAGCCAGGCAUGGUGGUGUGUGCCUGUAGUCCCAGCUACUUGUGAUGCUGAGGUGGGAGGAUCGCUUUUGCACAGAUGUCGAGGCUGCACUGGGCCAUGAUCGUGCCACUGCACUCCAGCGUGGGAGACAGAGCCAGACCCUGUCUCAAAAAAAAAAAAAAAAAAAAAAAACACCAGAAAAAAAAAAGGGUGGGGAAGGCCCAUGUCUACCCUGGGUUGGCAUGUACAUUCUAUGGAGGACAGACACACAGACAUGCCAAUCCCCACAGGAAGGACAGGAACACCACGCAGAGAGUGUGAAUGCCUUGCUUCAUGCCUAACCCAGGGGCUGUCCUGGGUCUACCCCCCCGCUUGCUUUCCACCCAGAGACUCACCCACACCAGGGCGUACUUGAACUGGCUGGCGAGUGACCGGUGGAUGCGGUGGCACUGGAGGACAGGAGAGAGUCAGGUAGAGAGGUGAGGCUUCACCUAACCCCAUCCCAAGCUUGGCCGCACACCCAAAGCUCAGGACACAGGCCAAGAGGCAGGAGUUCCUGCGGCAGGUGCCCACACAGUCUGGGCCUUGUGUGGAGGACUGACGUGCUCAAUUCGCACAUAGCCACCCAAUCACAGCUGCAGGUGGCCCUGCCAUUCCCACUCCUGAUCUGCCAGCUGUGGUGCCUAGUUAGGAAUGUUCCCAAAGCCACCAGGGGAAGGUCAGGGGCCUGGCUGCUAGUGGCCCUCUGCUUGCCUUGCCUGAACAGAUGCUCCUUUAGAAUGGGACAGGGUGAUAGCUUGGAGUCCCCCCUGCUUGGUCACCAUCUCUCACUCCUCCUGGCCCCACCUGUGGCCUGAAGCUUCCCACACAUCACAUCACCCCCAACUCCCAGGGCAGUGUAUAAACUUCAGUGCUCCUUGGUAGGGGUGAAGAUCCCAGGGGUCCCAGAUGUCAUAUAAAACUGGAAGGAGACCCUGGAGGAGGCAGCCAGCAAUUGCCCUGAGAGUGUAGACCUCUGGUUGCCACGCUGAUGGUGGCACAGUGGAGGGCGGCGGGGAGGGGACUCUGCAAUUGUGCAAUGUGACUCCUCCUCCCACAUGCCCACAGGUCUUCCAGGCCCUGGUGGGAGACCCAACGCCUCAGCCCAGCGUCCCUGGGGCGGAGGCCGGCGCCAGGCCUGCAGGAACACUUCCUUGACACAGAUGGGAAGGUGGCUGACCCUGGUCUGCAGAUGGGUUUUGUUUUACUCAGCUUGCCCAGCAUUGCCACUUGUGAGUGACUGAAGGGAUUCAGGAGGGUAAUCGUGAGUCUCCUUGGCUCCUCCUGCUGUGAUCUCAAGCCUAGGCCCUGAGGGAGAUGGGACUUUGCCUGGCCUCCUUUGUUUAACACCUCUAGGGUGGCACUCAGAGACCUGGGGCUGUGCUUGCAGAAUGAAUGAAUGCAUGAGACCAGAUUACAGGCCCCGCCACCACUGUCCUAAGGGGCUGCAGGGACAGCUGGGUCUACAGCGUCCCUUGCCUCCAGGAUACAGAUCCCAAGAAGAAAUGAGCUAGAGGAAAACACCACCAGGAAAGCAUCAGCCCAGGAGGACGGCCAUGUGACCCGAAGGUUGGCCACCAUCUGUGCCUGCAGGGUCAUGUUCAGGUGACAGAAUCCUGGACAGGGAAAGGCAGCCUCUUGCUCCCUGAGCCCAGACCACCUCCCCUGGGGCCUGUGCAUGCCUGCUCCCCUACCUGGGAUGCUCCCCACCCCAACUCUUCACUGCCAGACCCACUAGUCCUAUAAGCCGGCUCAGGUUGCCUCCUUGAAGCCGCUGUCCUGACCUCUGUGUUAAGCUGGUGCCACUUCCUACUCUCCUUGACUGAUGCCUGAAUGGCAUGGAAGCAGGGUUACUGGCAUCUCUGCAGAGCCAGGCAGCAUGCUGAGUGCCCUACACACUGGACCUCAUUCAACGUGUCCUCCUGACUAUCCAGGGGGCAGGCAGCACACCCCCCUCACAGGAGAGGUCAGAGCCUCGGCACAUGGCUAAGAAGUGGUGCUGCAGACGCAGCCCCAGGCUGUCCAACUCCAGAGCCUGCGUUGACAUCUGAGAGUGAGACCAGCAGAGCCCACCCCCAGCCCAGGGCACCUCAGGCAGAACAGAGCCCCAAAGGGCAUGCAGAGCUCCCACCCCUUGUCACGGCAGGUCUUGUCAACUCACCACGUGCUCCACUGAGGCCCCUUUCCGGAGAAUGAUGGCGUCUGCGAAGUCUGGCCUCUCUGCAGGGCGGGAUGGGGAGAACGUCAGCCACACAUCAGGGCCCACACUGCCAUCUUGUGAUUCUGCGCGAGGGAAGAGCUGGCCACAGAGGCCCUUUCGGUCUCCUUGCCUUGGCCUAACCUCCCCCUGACAUCCAGCACAUCCUCCACAUAGAUCCCUGUACCAUCUUCUACGACCUUGAUCUUAACACAGUGACUCAAAAUAAAUCAAGUCUAGGAUUCACAGUGCCUGCCACCCAUCUGCUGUGACAGCACUGACAGAGACCAGGACCUGGACUGAACGGGCAGGGCGCAAAGGGAUGCUGGAGUCUAGUGAGGGAAGCUGUAGCUCGCUCCUUGCCAAAGUCAGGGUUGAUGCAAACUGCUCCGAAUUCAGCUGUUGGGACCCCAGGGCAUGUGUGUGUGCGCACCAGGAGGAUGGGCAGGAGUUAGACAUGGGGAUGGCUCCUGUGGAUUCAGGUCCCUAAUGCUCCUGCGGUAGGGCCUGUCACUGUGAGGGGAGGUCAGGAGGGCACUGACUGCUACAGCCAGUGGGGACCCCAAGGUAGCCUUACCCCACCAGGGUACCCUCAAAACCAGCAGUGCCCAGUGCUGAGAAGGGAAAAGAGCUGAGGUGUGUCUAGACAAGCCAGGCCAGAGCCGGUGCUGGGGUCUCUGGGCACCACACACCGGCCUGGCAGCCUUCUAGGGAUGAAGCUCAGCCUGUUUUUCAGCUACGCGCAGUGCAACUCACGUCCUCUCUUCUUGGUGUAGAUGCAGGUCAGGGCCAAGUACUCCCAAAGCAUCUCCAGCAGAUAGUCCAGGUUCAGCUUCAUGCCGCAGCUGCAAAGAGGGAGGUGGCCAGUCAGGCAGGGGCCCCUAUGAUUUCAGAGGCUGGGGUCUCCACUUCUCACUAUUGGAGCGGAUAACCUCCACUGGCCAGGCAGCCCACUGGUACCCACAGGGAAACAAGCCCAUUACUAUGAUGGCAGCCUGAUGUUUCUGCUGCCAGUGCCUCUGGGCACCAAUCACGGUCACACUCAACCAGGGUCAGCAUCUCUCCUAGGGGCUGGCAAGCCUGUGCUCUGUGGAGGGUUGCAGCAUGUGUGAUUAGUGAAGGGCUGCCAUGGCGAGAUGGCCGGGGGCUGUGACGGGACCACGGGCAAAGGCUAGGAAUCCUGACGCCCAGAGUUCACUCCUUGAGAGGAGCAAGGGACUGCCAGGAAGUCCGGCAGGGAUUUCAGCAAGAAGAGGGGAGAACCAAGGCUCUGGAGACACCAGAGCCUUUACAUGUAGAACAGGCAUGAACCCAGUCCCUACCUCGCAGGACUGCAGAGGGAUUAAAAAGAUAAGGCCCGGGAUGUGCCUUGCUCCAAAUACUGGGUGGACCGUGGCUUGAAGGUUUGCGCCGUGACCCCGAGCUGUGUCCUGACCUCUGUAGAGCUAUUCUGAGCACAAGCAGGUAAAGGUGUAGAAGCUCUCACGCCCUGAGGAUGGCAGCCCCUCAAAGGCCUGGGACACAGCAGGAGGAGAGGACCUGAGGCUGUGCUGUAGAACCGACACUGCUCUUUGUGGUGGCUACAACCACCACAAAAUGGUCCUUGUGCUCAGGCCGGGACCCUCAUCCAUCAUUUGCGCUGUCCAGCCUCUUGGUCCCUGAGCUCUCAGUACUGUUGGCCAAGCUUCACUGUGAAGCUGUGGAGUGCCCGCCUCAAGUCAGGAAACCAGCAAAGUGGAGCACCUGAAUCAGCCUGCCCCAAAGAGGAGCCUGCCAGGCUGUGGUGGCAAGUGAACAAACAUCCAGAGUGCAGGCGGUACCCCAGGGACCCACCCUGCAAAGGAGGGCAGGAAGUGAGUGGCCAGGGCCUGAGAACAUUAGUUCCCUUUUUCCCUUUGAGCUGUGAUCAGACAGAAGCCACACCUUCCAGAGCACCAGGAGAGGUAGGCUCACACCCAGGGCUUCUUGGGGGGACCUUGGUUCACUACUAAGUUAAGAAGCCUCUUUUUUUUUUUUUUUUUGAGACGGAGUCUUGCUCUGUCGCCCAGGCUGGAGUGCAGUGGCAUGAUCUCGGCUCACUGCAACCUCCACCUCCCGGGUUCAAGUGAUCCUCCUGACUCAGCCUCCUGAGUAGCUGGGAUUAUAGGCACACGCCACCACGCCCAGCUAAUUUUUGUAUUUUUAGUAGAGACAGGGUUUCACCAUGUUGGCCAGGAUAGUCUCGAUCUCCUGACCUCGUGAUCCACCCGCCACAGCCCCCCAAAGUGCUGGGAUUACAGGCAUGAGCCACCACGCCUGGCCUAAGUUAAGAAGCCUCUUAGCCAUUCAACCUUGGUUGAUGAAAUCCUUCUGUUUUCUUAACCAGAGCCCACAAGACAUCACCCACCCUGCCCACGGCAAUUCAGAACUGGAAUGGGCCAAUGCCUCCAGCAGCUAUGAAGGGGACCCUCCUGCAGUGUCUCCUUGGCCUCAUGGACAAAGUGCUCUGCCCUGGGCAGGAAGUCCUGGGCUCCGUGAGGGCCGUGUGCUGCUGGAGGCUGUGCUGGCUUUUCCUCCUCCACAGCCAAAGUGGCUGGGAGGCCUGACGACUGGGGUCAGAACCCACAGCAAGGACAGCAGAGUGGCAGGAUGCCAGUGGCCUCACCUGAUGACCACACUGUUGGGUUUUCGGGCCAGGCGGUCCACCUCUUCCAUGGAGAUCUGGUCGAUUUUGUUAUAAACCUGAGAUUGAGAAGGUGGAGGCCGGUGCUGAGGACAGCAGCAAGGCAUCCAGGAAAGGGCCCUCCAUCGCCCUGUGCCGGCUGCAGCCCUUCCCUGGAGAGCUGAGUCUACGCCCUCCCUCCCCUUGCUGCCUCAGGGUUGGGAAGGCUGGGCUGGAACCCUGGUUUCAAGCUCUCUCUGUCUGCAAGAUCCAAGCAGCCACUGAGGUGAGGUGAGGGGAGGGGAGAGCCUCAGACUCUUUCUGCUUCUCUCACAAGGUUCCGGGAGCUGAGGAAAUGCAUGUGGUGGAAAGGCCGAGUGGCCAGGCCAGGGCUCCCCUCCUGCACUUACAUACAGGCAGGGCAUGUACACCCGGUUGCCCACGAUCACAUCGAUGAACUCGUCCGGGGAGCAGUCUUCUCGGAAGAGCACUUCUGCAUUGAAGAUCUCUGAGGGGCUCCGAUUAAGGGCAACCUGUGCACCAGCUGCCCCUGUCCCCCAUCAGCGGAGGGCCCCAAAAAGCCAAGCAGGAAAUAUGCUGGCCGCGUGGGACUGUGGCGGUAUCUGCUUGUGAGGUUUUACAAGAUUGUAAUGCUUUGGAAGCCCUCUGUUCUCUUCCCCAGAGGGACCACAAUAUAUAAAAGUUUCAAUCAACACAGAG